CUGCGAAGACUUGAGGAGCUCUGGUACACGGCUUCCCCCCUCGAGAGGAGGCACAGCAACUGAGGCGAAGCCUGGCUGGCACUGUAACAUAAACAAGCUCUGAGGACCUUGCAAAGUGCUAUGAUCAACUGAACUCACAUAAUAAUCUCCCCAGAACUGCAAGAAAAAGACUGGGGAUUUUUCAUUUCAGAAGACAAAUUAGGGGAAAUUGGAAUGACGCGAAAGAGCAG
rnacentral:lncRNA from 1 species